CGUUAUGGCGGACCGUGCGGGCAGUCUUCGGACUGGCCGGUUCCUUUUGUCCCGGUACUGCUUCCCCGCACGGCCCGCCUCCCUU
rnacentral:antisense_RNA from 1 species